UACAGAGGUCUCAAGCGUUGUUCGGAUUCAUUGGGCGUAAAGGGUGCGUAGGCGGCGCGGUAAGUCGGGUGUGAAAUCUCGGGGCUUAACUCCGAAACUGCAUUCGAUACUACCGUGCUUGGGGACUGGAGAGGAGACUGGAAUUUACGGUGUAGCGGUGAAAUUCGUAGAUAUUCGCAAGAACACCAGUGGCGAAGGCGGCAUUCUGGACCGAUAUUGACGCUGAGGAGCGAAAGCCAGGGGAGCAAACGGG
rnacentral:rRNA from 1 species